rnacentral:rRNA from 1 species
UACGUAGGGGGCUAGCGUUGUCCGGAAUCAUUGGGCGUAAAGCGCGUGUAGGCGGUCCGGUAAGUCCGCUGUGAAAGUCGAGGGCUCAACCCUCGAAUGCCGGUGGAUACUGUCGGGCUUGAGUACGGGAGAGGCGAGUGGAAUUCCUGGUGUAGCGGUGAAAUGCGCAGAUAUCAGGAGGAACACCGGUGGCGAAGGCGCCACUCUGGGCCGAAACUGACGCUGAGGAGCGAAAGCGUGGGUAGCAAACAGG